rnacentral:sRNA from 1 species
AGAUGCUGCCAGGGUCCCUGAAGAGGGAAGACACGCGGAAACAGAUCCUCCCAAGAAGGUGACCACAGUGAUUCAAAACCCCACGCCGAUUCGAGAAGGAGACACAGUGACCCUUUCCUGCAACUACAAUUCCAGUAACCCCAGUGUUACCCGGUAUGAAUGGAAACCCCAUGGCGCCUGGGAGGAGCCAUCGCUUGGGGUGCUGAAGAUCCAAAACGUUGGCUGGGGCAACACAACCAUCGCCUGCGCAGCUUGUAACAGUUGGUGCUCGUGGGCCUCCCCUGUCGCCCUGAAUGUCCAGUAUGCCCCCCGAGACGUGAGGGUCCGGAAAAUCAAGCCCCUUUCCGAGAUUCACUCUGGAAACUCGGUCAGCCUCCAAUGUGACUUCUCAAGCAGCCACCCCAAAGAAGUCCAGUUCUUCUGGGAGAAAAAUGGCAGGCUUCUGGGGAAAGAAAGCCGGCUGAAUUUUGACUCCAUCUCCCCAGAAGAUGCUGGGAGUUACAGCUGCUGGGUGAACAACUCCAUAGGACAGACAGCGUCCAAGGCCUGGACACUCGAAGUGCUGUAUGCACCCAGGAGGCUGCGUGUG